AACGAACGCUGGCGGCGCGCCUAAUACAUGCAAGUCGAGCGAGAAGACGUAGCAAUACGUUUGUAAAGCGGCGAACGGGUGAGGAAUACAUGGGUAACCUACCCUCGAGUGGGGAAUAACUAGCCGAAAGGUUAGCUAAUACCGCGUACGCUCCUUGGACUUCGGUUCAGGGAGGAAAGCGAUACCGUGGGUAUCGCGCUCUUGGAUGGGCUCAUGUCCUAUCAGCUUGUUGGUGAGGUAACGGCUCACCAAGGCUUCGACGGGUAGCUGGUCUGAGAGGACAAUCAGCCACACUGGCACUGCGACACGGGCCAGACUCCUACGGGAGGCAGCAGUAAGGAAUAUUGCGCAAUGGGCGAAAGCCUGACGCAGCGACGCCGCGUGGGGGAUGAAGGUCUUCGGAUU
rnacentral:rRNA from 1 species